GUGGGGAAUAUUGGACAAUGGGCGCAAGCCUGAUCCAGCCAUGCCGCGUGAGUGAUGAAGGCCUUAGGGUUGUAAAGCUCUUUCAGUGGGGACGAUAAUGACGGUACCCACAGAAGAAGCCCCGGCUAACUUCGUGCCAGCAGCCGCGGUAAUACGAAGGGGGCUAGCGUUGUUCGGAUUUACUGGGCGUAAAGCGCACGUAGGCGGAUCGUUAAGUCGGGGGUGAAAUCCUGGAGCUCAACUCCAGAACUGCCUUCGAUACUGGCGAUCUUGAGUCCGGAAGAGGUGAGUGGAACUCCUAGUGUAGAGGUGGAAUUCGUAGAUAUUAGGAAGAACACCAGUGGCGAAGGCGGCUCACCGGUCCGGUACUGACGCUGAGGUGCGAAAGCGUGGGGAGCAAACAGGAUUAGAUACCCGUGUAGUCC
rnacentral:rRNA from 1 species